GUCCACGCCCUAACGAUGUCGACUGGUUGUUGGGUUGACACUCUCAGUAACGAAGCUAACGCGUGAAGUCGACCGCCUGGGAGUACGGCCGCAAGGUUAAACUCAAAGGAAUUGACGGGACCCGCACAAGCGGUGGAUUAUGUGGAUUAAUUCGAUGCAACGCGAAACCUUACCUACCCUUGACAUGUCCGAGAGCCCGUAGAGAUAUGGGUGUGCCCCGAAAGGGAAUCGGAACACAGGUGCUGCAUGGCUGUCGU
rnacentral:rRNA from 1 species